rnacentral:rRNA from 1 species
UAGAGAUAGAGUCUUCCCCUUCGGGGGACAAAGUGACAGGUGGUGCAUGGUUGUCGUCAGCUCGUGUCGUGAGAUGUUGGGUUAAGUCCCGCAACGAGCGCAACCCUUAAGCUUAGUUGCCAGCAUUAAGUUGGGCACUCUAAGUUGACUGCCGGUGACAAACCGGAGGAAGGUGGGGAUGACGUCAAAUCAUCAUGCCCCUUAUGAUUUGGGCUACACACGUGCUACAAUGGACAAUACAAAGGGCAGCUAAACCGCGAGGUCAUGCAAAUCCCAUAAAGUUGUUCUCAGUUCGGAUUGUAGUCUGCAACUCGACUACAUGAAGCUGGAAUCGCUAGUAAUCGUAGAUCAGCAUGCUACGGUGAAUACGUUCCCGGGUCUUGUACACACCGCCCGUCACACCACGAGAGUCUGUAACACCCGAAGCCGGUGGAGUAACCAUUUAUGGAGCUAGCCGUCGAAGGUGGGACAAAUGAUUGGGGUGAAGUCGUAACAAGGUAGCCGUAUCGGAAGGUG